GACGGAGGGGGCAAGCGUUGUCCGGACUCACUGGGCGUAAAGCGUGCGUAGGUGGUGCGAUGCGUCGGCGCUGAAAGCGCCCGGCUUAACCGGGCGACGGGCGACGAUACGAUCGCACUGGAGGCAGGGAGACGUUGGUGGAAUUCCGGGUGUAGUGGUGAAAUGCGUAGAGAUCCGGAGGAAUGCCGGUGGCGUAAGCGGCCAACGAGUCCUGACCUGACACUGAGGCACGAAAGCGUGGGGAGCAAACCGG
rnacentral:rRNA from 1 species